GAUGAACGCUAGCGGCAGGCUUAAUACAUGCAAGUCGAGGGGCAGCAGGUCUGUAGCAAUAUAGCUGCUGGCGACCGGCAAACGGGUGCGGAACACGAACACGACCUUCCUUCGAGCGGGGCAUAGGCCGGGGAAACCCGGAUGAAUACCCCAUAGUAUGGGGAAGAGGCCUCUCUUUACUCUUAAAGAUUUAUGCCUUGAAGAUGGGUGUGCGGCUGAUUAGCUAGUUGGCGGGGUAACGGCCCACCAAGGCAACGAUCAGUAACUGGUGUGAGAGCACGACCAGUCACACGGGCACUGAGACACGGGCCCGACUCCUACGGGAGGCAGCAGUAAGGAAUAUUGGUCAAUGGACGAAAGUCUGAACCAGCCAUGCCGCGUGGAGGAUGAAGGUCCUCAGGAUUGUAAACUUCUUUUAUCUGGGACGAAAAAAGGGAAUUCUUUUCCGACUGACGGUACCAGAUGAAUAAGCACCGGCUAACUCCGUGCCAGCCGCCGCCGUAAGAC
rnacentral:rRNA from 1 species